rnacentral:rRNA from 1 species
UACAGAGGGUGCGAGCGUUGUCCGGAAUCACUGGGCGUAAAGGGCGCGUAUGCGGCUUGAUAAGGUUGCGGUGAAAGCCCGGGGCUCAACCCCGGGUCGGCCGUGGCAACUGUCGAGCUGGAGCACUGUAGAGGCAGGUGGAAUUCCGGGUGUAGCGGUGGAAUGCGUAGAGAUCCGGAAGAACACCGGUGGCGAAGGCGGCCUGCUGGGCAGUGGCUGACGCUGAGGCGCGACAGCGUGGGGAGCAAACAGG